AUACUUACCUGGCAGGGGAGAUACCAUGAUCACGAAGGUGGUUUUCCCAGGGCGAGGCUUAUCCAUUGCACUCCGGAUGUGCUGACCCC
rnacentral:snRNA from 1 species